GGAUUGCCCUAGUAACGGCGAGUGAAGCGGCAACAGCUCAAAUUUGAAAUCUGGCUCCUUUGGGGUCCGAGUUGUAAUUUGCAGAGGGUGCUUUGGCAUCGGCGGCGGUCUAAGUUCCUUGGAACAGGACAUCGCAGAGGGUGAGAAUCCCGUACGUGGGCGCCUGCCUUUGCCGUGUAAAGCCCCUUCGACGAGUCGAGUUGUUUGGGAAUGCAGCUCUAAAUGGGAGGUAAAUUUCUUCUAAAGCUAAAUACCGGCCAGAGACCGAUAGCGCACAAGUAGAGUGAUCGAAAGAUGAAAAGUACUUUGGAAAGAGAGUCAAAUAGCACGUGAAAUUGUUGAAAGGGAAGCGCUUGCAGCCAGACUUGCCCGCAGUUGCUCACCCAGGCUCCGGCCUGGGGCACUCUUCGGCGGGCAGGCCAGCAUCAGUUUGGGCGGUUGGAUAAAGGCCUCUGUCACGUAUCUCCCUUCGGGGUGACCUUAUAGGGGAGGCGCAAUGCAACCAGCCCGGACUGAGGUCCGCGCAUCUGCUAGGAUGCUGGCGUAAUGGCUGUAAGCGGCCCGUCUUGAAACACGGACCAAGGAGUCUAACAUCUAUGCGAGUGUUUGGGUGUCAAGCCCGGGCGCGUAAUGAAAGUGAACGGAGGUGGGAACCCUUUGGGUGCACCAUCGACCGAUCCUGAUGUCUUCGGAUGGAUUUGAGUAAGAGCAUAGCUGUUGGGACCCGAAAGAUGGUGAACUAUGCUUGAAUAGGGUGAAGCCAGAGGAAACUCUGGUGGAGGCUCGCAGCGGUUCUGACGUGCAAAUCGAUCGUCAAAUUUGGGCAUAGGGGCGAAAGACUAAUCG
rnacentral:rRNA from 1 species